UACAGAGGCCUCGAGCGUUAGGCGGAAUCACUGGGCUUAAAGCGUGUGUAGGUGGAUGCCUAAGUACCUUGUGAAAUCCCACAGCUUAACUGUGGAACUGCUUGGUAUACUGGGUGUCUUGAGCCACUCAGGGGCUACCGGAACAAACGGUGGAGCGGUGAAAUGCGUAGAUAUCGUUUGGAACGCCAAUGGUGAAAACAGGUAGCUGGGGGGUGUGCUGACACUGAGACACGAAAGCCAGGGGAGCGAACGGG
rnacentral:rRNA from 1 species